rnacentral:tRNA from 1 species
GAUAGGGUGGCUGAAGGUAGGCAAUAAAUUGUAAAUUUAUAUAUAAAUGUAAAGUUUCUCUAUUA